AGUGCCUGAAGAGUGGAAGAUGAAUGUCUGCCAGAUGAAGACUCGAUAGAAGAAACUUGACUGGGCAUCAGAGCUCUGUGUUGGCUUUGCUUUGCUUCCUGCAGGAAAGACUUCUCUCACAGUGUCAUUAAUGAUAACAGUACUUCAAAGAUAAAGAAGAGAUUAAUCUAAUGAUCCACUCCUAUGAACUGUUCAUACCCUUGAGCCACAUCUACCAAACUGUCCCUUUUUGAAUGGGCUCAGAUCCUGGAACAUCCUAUUAACUCUGAGGACUGACUGCCAGAAUAUGUGU
rnacentral:lncRNA from 1 species